GCGCAGCAGUCGAGAAUUUCUCAAUGGGCGAAAGCCUGAAGGAGCGACGCCGCGUGGAGGAUGAAGGCCUUCGGGUUGUAACUCCUGUCAUUUGAGAACAAGUGUCGGCAAGUAACUACUGCCGACUUGAUAGUAUCAGAAGAGGAAGGGACGGCUAACUCUGUGCCAGCAGCCGCGGUAAUACAGAGGUCCCAAGCGUUGUUCGGAUUCAUUGGGCGUAAAGGGUGCGUAGGUGGCGCCAUAAGUCAGGUGUGAAAUUUCGGGGCUUAACUCCGAAACUGCAUUUGAUACUGUGGUGCUUGAGGACUGGAGAGGAGACUGGAAUUUACGGUGUAGCAGUGAAAUGCGUAGAGAUCGUAAGGAAGACCAGUGGCGAAGGCGGGUCUCUGGACAGUUCCUGACACUGAGGCACGAAGGCCAGGGGAGCAAACGGGAUUAGAUACCCCCG
rnacentral:rRNA from 1 species